AUUGAACGCUGGCGGCAUGCCUUACACAUGCAAGUCGAACGGCAGCACGGGGCAACCUGGUGGCGAGUGGCGAACGGGUGAGUAAUGCAUCGGAACGUGCCAUUGAGUGGGGGAUAACGUAGCGAAAGUUGCGCUAAUACCGCAUAUUCUGUGAGCAGGAAAGCAGGGACCGCAAGGCCUUGCGCUCUUUGAGCGGCCGAUGUCAGAUUAGCUAGUUGGUGAGGUAACGGCUUACCAAGGCGACGAUCUGUAGCGGGUCUGAGAGGAUGAUCCGCCACACUGGAACUGAGACACGGUCCAGACUCCUACGGGAGGCAGCAGUGGGGAAUUUUGGACAAUGGGCGCAAGCCUGAUCCAGCCAUGCCGCGUGAGUGAAGAAGGCCUGGUGUAAG
rnacentral:rRNA from 1 species